UGAUGAUGGUAGUGAUGAUGAUGGUAGUGAUGAUGAUGAUGGUAGUGAUGAUGAUGGUAGUGAUGAUGGUAGUGAUGAUGAUGAUGAUGGUAGUGAUGAUGGUAGUGAUGAUGAUGAUGAUGGUAGUGAUGAUGAUGAUGAUGGUAGUGAUGAUGAUGAUGGUAGUGAUGAUGAUGAUGGUAGUGAUGAUGAUGAUGGUAGUGAUGAUGGUAGUGAUGAUGAUGAUGG